UCACGCGUGGGCCCCCGGCGCUGUUACCCCGCGGAGGCUCGUUUCUCGGGCGGGCAGAGCGUCAGCGGGACACGGCACGCCGUUACCGACCCGCAAGAAGAUAUUUCAUUUUAUCCUGCUGCCGCCCGCCGCACGCAGUGUCAGGAGAAGAGGUGAUGCUCUGCCUUUCCUGGGCUCUUUUUUUUUCCUCUCCUGCCUCUGCCCCCUGGAUCCUUCCUUUUCCCUCCAAACUCGCAGCAGAAAGCAAGCAGGAGGCACCAGGGUCUGCGGUUUAUAAAAAACGGCAAGAAUAAAGGGUGCAGGCAAAUGAUGGGCCAAUAUGAGGAGGAAAGAUGGAGGCCUAAAACCAGUCAGCAGGAAUGGAAAUAAUGGGAAAUCAGAAUUUGCAGCAAGAAGAAUGAACUGCACUACCGAAGACCUGAGCAUUAAGGGAAAAGGGGAAAUCCUUCAGCAUCACAUGACCUCUUUAAAGACCUGUGGAGGUAGAGUAAUUCUGGUGUGAGCAGCUCUGGAGAUCACAAGGAAAAUAAAAGGCACCAUGGUGCAUGAACAGCGCUGCUAACACUACAUCCUGCGCUCCUCCCAGGAAUGACCUGCCGUGGAAAGAGCAGCAGAGAGCGAGCUUUGCUGCCCAGGGCAGGGUGCCACGGCCUCAAUGAGUGGCUGCAGGAGUGAUUUGCACAGUACUCCCAUGGCUAGGAUUGCAUCCCGUCACAUUUGCAUCGCUAGGAAAGCGUAAGCGGAGCUCUUGGCUCGAGUGACCCCUCCUGAUGGGGAAAAAUUGUGGCUCUUGGGUUCGUGGGGUGCUUGUUACUGAAAGCAGUGGCACAGCAACAAGAGUCAAAGAUUCUCCUCUUAAGGAUUGCUCAUUUGUACACACAAAGAUUGAUUUCAUGGCUUUAGGUCAGCUAUCCAGUGUCAGGGAGUGAUUAUUGCUAUUCUACAAAUUUUGAAUUCCACAUAUAGAAACUUGGGAGAGCUUUACACACCCUCCAUUCUUCUCGCCUGUUUUUUCUCUGUUUUUAUUCUUUUUUAUCAGUGAAAGAGGGAGUAGGAUUUGCAGGAGAGGAGGAGGAGGGGAAAGACAGGAAUUGUUCUCCCUCUUCCUUUUUUUUUUUUUUUUUUUUUUAAGUUAUAAAACAGUUUUCCUUUUCAAUUAUAAAACACAGCCCACGCAGUAGAAUUUAAUGGGAUUGGUGUUGGUUUCCCUCUUGACUCCCUCUGCCUAAUUUGUUUCUGAGAUGAUGGGGGAGGAGGGGUAGAGACAGGGCUGGAGAACAAACCGGGGGAGGAGAGGGCUGCUCAGAUGGCAGCAAGCUCAGGGUGCAUUGUGCUGGGGUGCAGGCCAUGGGAGGACCCCCGCAUUGGAUGGGCAUACAGAGCUGACUGCACCCCAAAGGCUCUGCGGUCCAGGAAAGGCAACUCUGCGGUGAAAUAACACCCCAGGUUUAAUCCUUGCAUCACCCUGCGCCUGCUCAGCCCAGGACCUAUUGGUUUGUCAUCAUCCCAUCACGCCACCAAUUAUUUUAUACUUGGCACCUACUGCAGAGUGGGGCAAUACUACUUACAUGGCAGAUUCUGCUCUCGGUAUUUUUGUUCUGGGAGCAUCAAACUGGGGUGAAAACAGGUCGUGCUGCCUUUGUUUUGCAGCCAUUCCUUACCCCACAGUCUCUCCUCCCCUCCUCAGCUUUUCGAAUACAACCCUUCUAUGAACAUGCUUUAUAGGACCAAUACUUCAUAUCCCUUUGUUUACAGAGGAGGCUAAUCUCCAUCAGAUUAUGAAAUCAGCUCACAUGCUUCAGUGGUAUUACCCACUAUUGAUAUCCCUGUUCGAUCCCUGUUGAGCUCUCUUUGUUGGAGGUAACCCUUUCUCUUACCUCUUCUAAGCUGAUUUCUUAGGCCACAUCAUUCAAGCCCCACAUCCCCAUGGUAUUUAGAUGUAGUAAAAAUGACUGAGGGGAAAGUAAAUGGCAGCCAGUGAGCCAACUAAACUGUCUGACUAUUAAUGGUCCUGUUAGUUGCAAAUUUACUUUACCACAAAGCCCCCAGCAUGUAAUCCUUAGAUGAAUGCCUUUGAUUGUGAGGGAAUAUUUACAGCUGACCCUGCCAGCAGUCUGCAAACCUGCAAUGGGCCUCCUGUCCCACAUUAAAUCCGCUGGCAUCUGUUCCUGGGUUCUUAUCAAGCACAUGCUCUGUUGGUGCAGUGUUUGGGCUGUAGCACUCACGGAUACGGUGGGCCUUGACGAAUAAAUCCCCACAUUCCUGCGAAAUGCUAAUUCUUGUGAACGUUGUACGUUACAGUUUGUACCUGCCUCCAGGCAUUGCCAUCCACAGGGAGAUUUACAGAUGGCUUUGAUUCCUGCCGACUGCCCCUUCCCCGGGGCAGGUCCCUGGUCCUGAUGCUGGACCACCCUUCACCAAGAACAAACUUCUUCUCGGCCACUCUUUGUUGUUCCAUUUUCCCAGACAUGCCUGAGUGACAUGAAGUGAUUUUUAUGACAAUUUUUUUCUCUUUUCACCCCUGAGCAUACCUUGCACUCAUCCCCAGGUUGCUCUGACUGAGCAUGUUGUUCUUGCAGGGACCCUCAGGUGGUCCUACGCCACCUCCAGCCACAGCAGAGCUAUGCAGGAGCACAGGCUGAAAGCCGGCAAGAUUUCAGUGUGUCCUGAUGCCUGUUCCCUGUGUCCAAGUGUAAUUCAGUGGCUUGCCAUUCCCAGCAUGUCCCGUGGUAUGUGGGAUGGAUCCAGACUGCUUGGCUUCUUUGUGUCAGCCAGAAGACCCAGUGGUGGGUGGUGGGCCUGCUCCAUCCACUCUGCAGGCAAGGAUGUCCUUAUGUCUGUGUUGAGGAAUGAUGGCUAUUUUUUCUCUUACGCCUUUACUCAAAACCCAUGCUUUUCCACCCAAGCUGUAUGAAUGCUGAGCAUGUUUGGGCUUGAACAUGGAC